UGCCGACGGAUAAUUAUACUUUACUCAUAUCCUAUACUUGUGACAUGAUUGGUCGAGUUUCAUAUCCUAUACUUGUGACAUGAUUGGUCGAGUUUCAUAUCCUGUACUUGUGACGUGAUUGGUCGAGUUUCAUAUCCUAGUUGAUCUGAGUGGUCAGUCCUUGUGGUUCAUUGAGCAGUAUUUGCAUAUGUUUGAGAGGAUGUCGAUGUUGUCCCAUCCUAGUUGACCUGAGUGGUCGGUUCUUGUGCUUCUUUACAGUUGAC
rnacentral:lncRNA from 1 species